rnacentral:rRNA from 1 species
UACGGAGGGGGCUAGCGUUGUUCGGAAUUACUGGGCGUAAAGCGCGCGUAGGCGGACCGGCAAGUCGGGGGUGAAAGCCCGAGGCUCAACCUCGGAACUGCCUUCGAUACUGCGGGUCUCGAGUCCGGGAGAGGUGAGUGGAAUUCCUAGUGUAGAGGUGAAAUUCGUAGAUAUUAGGAAGAACACCAGUGGCGAAGGCGGCUCACUGGCUCGGUACUGACGCUGGAGGCGACGAAAGCGUGGGGAGCAAACAGG